rnacentral:rRNA from 1 species
GUAACGGCGAGUGAAGCGGCAACAGCUCAAAUUUGAAAUCUGGUCCCCUCGCGGUGCCCGAGUUGUAGUUUGCAGAGGAUGCUUUGGGCGAGGCGCCUUCCGAGUGCCCUGGAACGGGACGCCGCAGAGGGUGAGAGCCCCCUACGGUCGGCUGCCGAGCCUCUGUAAAGCUCCCUCGACGAGUCGAGUAGUUUGGGAAUGCUGCUCUAAACGGGAGGUACACCCCUUCUAAAGCUAAAUACCCGCCAGAGACCGAUAGCGCACAAGUAGAGUGAUCGAAAGAUGAAAAGCACUUUGAAAAGAGAGUUAAACAGCACGUGAAAUUGUUGAAAGGGAAGCGCUUGUGGCCAGACUCGGGCCCGGCGGCUCAGCCGUCCCUCGCGGGCGGUGCACUCUGCCGGGCCUGGGCCAGCAUCAGCUCGCGGCGGGGGAGAAAGGCGGUGGGAACGUGGCUCUUCGGAGUGUUAUAGCCCGCCGUCAUGCCCUGCUGCGGGCUGAGGUUCGCGCUCCGCAAGGAUGCUGGCGUAAUGGCCACCAGCGACCCGUCUUGAAACACGGACCAAGGAGUCGUCCUAGCAUGCGAGUGUUCGGGUGCAAAGCCCCUACGCGGAAUGAAAGUGAACGUAGGUGGGAGCCUCUGGCGCACCACCGACCGAUCCUGAUGUUCUCGGAUGGAUUUGAGUAAGAGCAUGCUGGGCCGGACCCGAAAGAAGGUGAACUAUGCUUGGAUAGGGCAAAGCCAGAGGAAACUCUGGUGGAGGCUCGCAGCGGUUCUGACGUGCAAAUCGAUCGUCAAAUCUGAGCAUGGGGGCGAAAGACUAAUCGAACCUUCUAGUAGCUGGUUUCCGCCGAAGUUUCCCUCAGGAUAGCAGUGUUGAGCUUCAGUUUUAUGAGGUAAAGCGAAUGAUUAGGGACUCGGGGGCGCUAUUUAGCCUUCAUCCAUUCUCAAACUUUAAAUAUGUAAGAAGCCCUCGUUCCUUCAGUG